rnacentral:tRNA from 1 species
GGGUCUGUCGGUUAAUGGCAAACCACUGGUCUCCAAAACCAGGACUGCAGGUUCAAGUCCUGCCAGACCCGCCC